UUAAGUCAGGCAACAAGCGAGACCCCUGCCGUUAAUUGCUACCAUUAUCCGCAAGGAUGGUGGAGCUAGUUGGCGGGACUGCCGCCGCUAAGGCGGAGGAAGGAAGGGGCAACGGCAGGUCAGUAUGCCCCGAAACUCCUGGGCCACACGCGGGCUGCAAUGGUAGAGACAAUGGGUUCCUACCUCGAAAGGGGGAGGCAAUCCCCAAACUCUACCCCAGUUGUGACUGAGGGCUGCAACCCGCCCUCACGAAUCUGGAAUCCCUAGUAAUCGCAUGUCAUCACCGUGCGGUGAAUACGUCCCUGCUCCUUGCACA
rnacentral:rRNA from 1 species